GGCGAGGCGAAGAGAGGCGAGGCCUGAUGAGGCGAGGCGAGGUGAGGCAACGGUAAGGAGAUGCGAAGCGAGGCAAAGGCAAGGCUAAGGCGAGGUGAGGCGUGGCGUGGCAGGGCAAGACGAGGUGAGGGGUGGCGAGGCAAGGCAAAGGCGAGGCGAGGCGUUGCAAAGUGAGGUAAAGGCGAGGCGAGGAGAGGCGAGGCGUUGCAAAGUGAGGGAAAGGCAAAGCGAGGCGAGGCGAGGCAAAGGCAAUGCGAGGCGAGACGAGGCGAGGCGAGCUGUGGCGAGGCAAGGAGAGGUGAGGCAGGACGAGGCAAGGCGAGGCAAUGCAAGGCGAGGCGAGGCGAGGCCUGACGAAGCAAGGCGAGGUGAGGCAAAGGCGAGGCGAGGCAAGGCGGCGCGAGGCGAGGCGAGGGCAUGCAAAAGAAGGCGGGGUGAGGUGAGGCGAG
ensembl:lncRNA